CAGCCGCCGCGGUAAAACGUAGGUGGCGAGCGUUGUCCGGAUUUAUUGGGCGUAAAGGGAGUGUAGGCGGUCUUUUAAGUCUGAUGUGAGAGCCCACGGCUCAACCGUGGAGGGUCAUUGGAAACUGGGAGACUUGAGUGCAGAAGAGGAGAGCGGAAUUCCAUGUGUAGCGGUGAAAUGCGUAGAUAUAUGGAGGAACACCAGUGGCGAAGGCGGCUCUCUGAUCUGUAACUGAUGCUGAGGCUCGAAAGCGUGGGGAGCAAACAGGAUUAGAUACCCCCGUAGUCCCUGUCUCUUAUAA
rnacentral:rRNA from 1 species